UACGUAGGGUCCGAGCGUUGUCCGGAAUUAUUGGGCGUAAAGGGCUCGUAGGCGGUCCGUCACGUCGGGUGUGAAAACUCAGGGCUCAACCCUGAGCGUGCUUCCGAUACGGGCGGACUAGGGGUAUGCAGGGGAGAACGGAAUUCCUGGUGUAGCGGUGGAAUGCGCAGAUAUCAGGAGGAACACCGGUGGCGAAGGCGGUGCUCUGGGCCGGAACUGACGCUGAGGAGCGAAAGCGUGGGGAGCAAACAGG
rnacentral:rRNA from 1 species